rnacentral:rRNA from 1 species
UACGUAGGGUGCGAGCGUUGUCCGGAAUUAUUGGGCGUAAAGGGCUCGUAGGCGGUUUGUCGCGUCGGGAGUGAAAACGCCGUGCUUAACACGGCGCUUGCUUUCGAUACGGGCAGACUAGAGGUAUGCAGGGGAGAACGGAAUUCCUGGUGUAGCGGUGAAAUGCGCAGAUAUCAGAAGGAACACCGGUGGCGAAGGCGGUUCUCUGGGCAUUACCUGACGCUGAGGAGCGAAAGUGUGGGGAGCGAACAGG